GGAGGGUGCGAGCGUUAAUCGGAAUUACUGGGCGUAAAGCGCGCGUAGGCGGCCUGAUCAGUCGGAUGUGAAAGCCCUGGGGCUUAACCUGGGAAUUGCACUCGAUACUGUCAGGCUAGAGUAUGGGAGAGGGAAGUGGAAUUUCCGGUGUAGCGGUGACAUGCGUAGAUAUCGGAAGGAACACCAGUGGCGAAGGCGACUUCCUGGCCCAAUACUGACGCUGAGGUGCGAAAGCGUGGGUAGCGAACAGGAUUAGAUACCCUGGUAGUCCACGCCGUAAACGAUGAGAACUAGAUGUCGGGAGGAUUUACCUCUCGGUGUCGCAGCUAACGCGUUAAGUUCUCCGCCUGGGGAGUACGCCGGCAACGGUA
rnacentral:rRNA from 1 species